rnacentral:ribozyme from 1 species
UAAGAGAAUCCUGGAAAGACACAAGCAAAAGGAAAAAGAAGAGAAGGAAAAAGCCAAACAGGAACAAACCACCAACGAGGUCCAAAACUAGCUAGCUGAUUGUAAUUUACGUAUUUAUUGAAUUUAGCUUUUUUU